GUGAAUCAUCGAAUCUUUGAACGCAAAUUGCACUCUCUCCUGAGAGUAUGCCUGUUUGAGGGUCAGCCUAAAAAAAAAUCGACAUAGUCGCUGGUUCGCGGUGACAUUCGUCGGGAAUGUGGUCAUCUUAUACCUUUGUGUUUUAAGCGGCUUAAAAUUUUCUUUACGAUUCCACGAACGUUUAUAAGAUUUACUUCUUAUACAUGGAUGGUAUCGAUC
rnacentral:misc_RNA from 1 species